UACAAUUGCUAUUAUUUUUNUAUUGANGUAAUCUNANGNCCAAAUAUUAACUCANCUANGGCAGGGAAACUCGUUUAAAUCGGGUACAGUUCCCGCUACUGUGGUUGCAGAAUACUUUUUCUAUAUAGGCCAUCCAGCNCUGUANAAGCAUUUGGAGAAGGCGAAAUAAGUUGAAACUGCAUAAGUCAGGAGACCUGGAUAGAUGUGUAAACUAUU
rnacentral:ncRNA from 1 species